AGGCUGACAGCCAAAUUCCAUCCGCAGCAAAAUCUGGUCCAUGGAGAAAGAUGCUUUCAUCCAAAGAUGUAAACUUUGUGGGUUGCACACACAAGAACUUUGAAAUUGUAAAUGAUAAUCAGUUACCUGGCAUCGCUGAAUUAAAGAAGAAGAGU